rnacentral:rRNA from 1 species
AAACGCUGGCGGCGUGGACAAGACAUGCAAGUCGAGCGAUCAUUAGCGGGUAGGCAAUAUUCGCUAAUGGGAGCGGCGCAAGGGUGGCGUAACACGUGGGCAAUCUGCCGUGAAGUUGGGAUAAUCCCGCGAAAGCGGGACUAAUACCGGAUGUGACAGCUGGGAGGCAUUUCCUGGUUGUUAAAGUUGGGGACCGUAAGGCCUGACGCUUCAUGAUGAGCCCGCGGCCUAUCAGCUAGUUGGUGAGGUAACGGCCCACCAAGGCUAAGACGGGUAGCUGGUCUGAGAGGACGACCAGCCACACUGGAACUGAGACACGGUCCAGACACCUACGGGUGGCAGCAGUCGAGAAUUUUUCACAAUGGGCGCAAGCCUGAUGGAGCGACGCCGCGUGGGGGAUGAAAUGGCUUCGGCCCGUAAACCCCUGUCAUUCGCGAUCAAAUGUUGUUAUUUAAAAGAUGACAGCCUGAUAGUAGCGGAAGAGGAAGGGACGGCUAACUCUGUGCCAGCCGCGGC